UGAUGACCCAUGCCUUUGAGGUAGGUGAACUCUAAGAAACAAGAAACACGGGAGCGGUUCCUUCCUGAUUUUCGCAUGUCAUGCAAGCCAGGGGGCGUCCGUGAUUUUUACUGUGACUAAAAAAGUGUGACCAAAGCAGUCAUUCGACUUGAAUUAUAAAGCAUGGGAUAACAAAGGAGCACCUAUGGGCCACCGUUUCGGCUUUUGUUGGUUAUAAAAUCCUUGGAAAUUAUGGCGUCCUGCGACCAGCGUCUGGGUGAUUUCCCCUUUCGGGGACCCCUCGCCUUUGGGGGAAAACCCUGUC
rnacentral:rRNA from 1 species